rnacentral:siRNA from 1 species
UCAUUUCAGCGAGCAUAUACCU